rnacentral:rRNA from 1 species
AGGAAAUAGAUACCCUGGUAGUCCACGCUGUAAACGAUGGGUACUAGGUCAGGUGGGUAUUGACCCCUGCCGGACCGGAGCUAAACGCAAAUAAGUACCCGCCUGGGAAGUACGGUCGCAAGACUAAAACUCAAAGGAAUUGACGGGGGCCCGGCACAAGCGGUGGAUCAUGUGGUUUAAUUCGAAGCAACGCGAAGAACCUUACCUGGGUUUGACAUCCCUCGACAGUCGUAGAAAUACGAUCUUUGUAGCAAUACAACGGGGAGACAGGUGCUGCAUGGCUGUCGUCAGCUCGUGUGGUGACAUGUUGGGUUAAGUCCCGCAACGAGCGCAACCCUUGUCCUUAGUUGCCAUCAUUAAGUUGGGCUCUCUAAGGAGACUGCCGUGGUUAACACGGAGGAAGGUGGGGAUGACGUCAAGUCCUCAUGGCCUUUAUAUCCAGGGCGACACACGUGAUACAAUGGAUGGUACAGAGAGACGCGAAAGGGCGACCUCGAGCAAAUCUCAAAAACGCCAUUCUCAGUUCGGAUUGGAGUCUGCAACUCGAC